rnacentral:rRNA from 1 species
AUUGAACGCUGGCGGCAGGCUUAACACAUGCAAGUCGAACGAGUGGCGGACGGGUGAGUAAUGCUUGGGAAUCUAGCUUAUGGAGGGGGAUAACUACGGGAAACUGUCGCUAAUACCGCAUACCAUAGGAUGAGCCCAAGUGGGUUUAGGUAGUUGGUGAGGUAAAGGCUCACCAAGCCGACGAUCUCUAGCUGGUCUGAGAGGAUGACCAGCCACACUGGGACGGAGCAACGGCCCAGACUCCUACGGGAGGCAGCAGUGGGGAAUAUUGCGCAAUGGGGGCAACCUGACGCAGCCAUGCCGCGUGAAUGAAGAAGGCCUUCGGGUUGUAAAGUUCUUUCGGUAGAGAGGCGUUAACUACAGAAGAAGCACCGGCUAACUCCGUGCCAGCCGCCGCGGUAAUUC